rnacentral:rRNA from 1 species
CUUGUGGGUGGAUUAGUGGCGAACGGGUGGGUAACACGUGAGUAACCUGCCCUUGACUCUGGGAUAAGCCUGGGAAACUGGGUCUAAUACCGGAUAUGACCUUCCAUCGCAUGGUGGUUGGUGGAAAGCUUUUGUGGUUUUGGAUGGACUCGCGGCCUAUCAGCUUGUUGGUGGGGUAAUGGCCUACCAAGGCGACGACGGGUAGCCGGCCUGAGAGGGUGACCGGCCACACUGGGACUGAGACACGGCCCAGACUCCUACGGGAGGCAGCAGUGGGGAAUAUUGCACAAUGGGCGCAAGCCUGAUGCAGCGACGCCGCGUGAGGGAUGACGGCCUUCGGGUUGUAAACCUCUUUCAGUAGGGAAGAAGCGUAAGUGACGGUACCUGCAGAAGAAGCGCCGGCUAACUACGUGCCAGCAGCCGCGGUAAUACGUAGGGCGCAAGCGUUAUCCGGAAUUAUUGGGCGUAAAGAGCUCGUAGGCGGUUUGUCGCGUCUGCCGUGAAAGUCCGGGGCUCAACUCCGGAUCUGCGGUGGGUACGGGCAGACUAGAGUGAUGUAGGGGAGACUGGAAUUCCUGGUGUAGCGGUGAAAUGCGCAGAUAUCAGGAGGAACACCGAUGGCGAAGGCAGGUCUCUGGGCAUUAACUGACGCUGAGGAGCGAAAGCAUGGGGAGCGAACAGGAUUAGAUACCCUGGUAGUCCAUGCCGUAAACGUUGGGCACUAGGUGUGGGGGACAUUCCACGUUUUCCGCGCCGUAGCUAACGCAUUAAGUGCCCCGCCUGGGGAGUACGGCCGCAAGGCUAAAACUCAAAGGAAUUGACGGGGGCCCGCACAAGCGGCGGAGCAUGCGGAUUAAUUCGAUGCAACGCGAAGAACCUUACCAAGGCUUGACAUGAACCGGAAAGACCUGGAAACAGGUCCCCCACUUGUGGUCGGUUUACAGGUGGUGCAUGGUUGUCGUCAGCUCGUGUCGUGAGAUGUUGGGUUAAGUCCCGCAACGAGCGCAACCCUCGUUCUAUGUUGCCAGCACGUGAUGGUGGGGACUCAUAGGAGACUGCCGGGGUCAACUCGGAGGAAGGUGGGGACGACGUCAAAUCAUCAUGCCCCUUAUGUCUUGGGCUUCACGCAUGCUACAAUGGCCGGUACAAAGGGUUGCGAUACUGUGAGGUGGAGCUAAUCCCAAAAAGCCGGUCUCAGUUCGGAUUGGGGUCUGCAACUCGACCCCAUGAAGUCGGAGUCGCUAGUAAUCGCAGAUCAGCAACGCUGCGGUGAAUACGUUCCCGGGCCUUGUACACACCGCCCGUCAAGUCACGAAAGUUGGUAACACCCGAAGCCGGUGGCCUU